rnacentral:lncRNA from 1 species
GUCCUGUUCUGGAUCCCCAUCUGCUUAAGGUGUGCAUGUUCCCCACAGGCUCCCUGGUUCCUGUCUUUUUGGGACAAGUCUGAACCUGAAGUGCAAGGAGACACCUUCUGGACAGACAGAGCAAAGGAAUGUCUGAGAAGAGAAACUUUGGGGCAAGUGAGAACAGCUGGGGCUGAUCUGGUGGACUUAGACUCUCUUCGCUCCCCUCAUUGCAAGACACGAAGCUUCUGCUUGGGAUGUCACAGGCUGUGACAAUGAGCUCAGGGAAUAUCACACCAAAGUUAUCUAAGCAAGUUGAGGUUUCUUUCAUGCAGAGGCCCAGGGAGGAGGCAGACCCAGCUGGGCAGGGAGGCAGAGCUAGCACGAAUGAUGGGGUGACAGGACCUCUUUCUUAGGACAGAAGGCCAAAUAUUCUAUGCAGUUAAAGGAAUGAAUAUGGGUGUUUGUGGGCAUAUUUAAUGGGGGCAAUAAGGACAGAAAGGAUAUAGCGUAUUUUUUUUUAUAGUUCCUGGUACCAACAGGCUUAUUUCAUAUCAGAGCUAAGUGUUAAGAGUUGAUUAUUUGUCAUCGGGGGUCUUGGGAAAGAAAUGGGUCAGAGAUUUCAUCUUAAAAACACUGUGGGGGACCCAAUGGGAGGCAGCUGGGGCAGAAUGGGCUGGACCUUGUCAGCCCAUAAAAAGGAGGUCAUCACAGACCCAGGCAAGUGGCAAACUAAAAGCAGAUUUCUAGGGGACAAGGCCACCAUAUCUCAUGGGAUGCAGCGCUCUCUUAAGGAUCUGGGCUUUCAGGACCUAAGUCACCCCAGCAGGGAGACUGUCUUCUGGGUGGGCUCAAAGCACAGAAUGGGUAUGCAUUCCCGCAGGAGGCUCAGGGCCAAGAGCCAGCAGCCCUCUGAAGGGGAAGGGUGCUGGGCAGGAGGAGAUCCCCGGGGAGUCGAUGCAUGGAUCAAGCAGGAAGCCGUUUUCCUGGGACCGGAAAGGGAGGGACUUGGGGGAGAUAACGUGGAGACAGAGGAGAACUCGCGCUGCUCAUGGUCUCUGCUUCCCUCACUCCCUCCGUUCCCCACUCUCGGCUCACUUCUCCUCCUUUUCCUGUCUCAGCACAACUGGCUUCCCCGCUGUGGCCCACAGAUGCACAUUAUUAAUUGCAUCAUGGGGGAAGUAUUGGCAUGAUGGAAGUUUCCGGCGAGGACCUGGGAAUGCCAUUGCAGGGAGACUCACAGAGCCCCGUCCAAUAGAGGCUGAAAUCAAGGAAAUGUGAAAUGUCU